UCCAAACGAGCCAAAUAGUAAAAGUGUAGCGGUCCUGCCGACCGAAAGAAGCAUUCCCCUCCCCGUAUCGAAUAAUUCGAAAGAUCAAUGAUCACCAUUGAUCUAGGAAAGAACCCUUUUAUUUUUUCGAUGAUGUUCCACGCAAGUUGGUGGAUUUCAUCAGAUGUGGGUUUUCACUGUUAACUAGAAAACAAGCGGUGUAAGCAGAAGACUUACCUUACUGCUUGUUGCUCGUUAACGUGCUCCAAUGCCGGAGAAUGUUUUUGUUUUAAUUUUUGUUUUUGUGUCACCCGACAGCGCUGACUGAACGCCCCAACAAGGUCUCGGUCACAUGGCUGUACUAACUGAGCCAGAGCAACGCUCGUUCUGGCUUUUCUCUUUCUCUCUUUAUUUUCAGAUUGGGAGAUUGAGUUCCCCGCGGGAGCGCGAUAAAACGCCCCGAUCGCUGGCGGCGGGGGGUGCAGUUCUGACCGGAGGAGUCCGGUUGCAGUUCUGACGGUUCGUGGACGUUGCAGUUCUGACCGGAGGAGUCCGGGUGUGUACGACGCGUUGCAGUUCUGACCGGAGGAGUCCGGGUGUGUACGACGCGUUGCAGUUCUGACCGGAGGAGUCCGGUUGCAGUUCUGACGAUGUACGACGCGUGCUGUUCUGACGGUCCCCCAGUUCGGACGAGGUGUGCCGUUCGUUUUCGACAUUUUCGUUCAAAGUUCAGUGGGCAUUUUCUGCCAAAUUGACGAGCAGGCCAAUUCGGGUCGAGAGUGUUUGGUAGUGAUAUAAGGUGGAUAAAGUAUAGGUGGAUAAAGUAUAGGUGGAUAAAGUAUAUUUCGGGAAAUUGGAGGAACCACCCACAUACGCUAUCAGAAUCGAGGGUAAAGUGAAAGUGUCUCAAUCGAUUCCUUAAGAACGAUUCUAAGGGUGGAAAGCUAGUGAAUUGUGACGACCUUUUAGUAAUAAAUAAAAUUGUUAGAAGGAAA